UCUGGGGUGGGAUGAUGGGGGACACAAUAGCGGUGUACAGUUAGUGACAGGUCCUCUUUAGGUCUUCUCUGAGGUCUGGGGUGGGAUGACGGGGGACACAAUAGCGGUGUACAGUUAGUGACAGGUCCUCUUUAGGUCUUCUCUGAGGUCUGGGCUGGGAUGACGGGGGACACAAUAGCAGUGUACAGUUAGUGACAGCUCCUCUUUAGGUCUUCUCUGAGGUCUGGGGUGGGAUGACGGGGGACACAAUAGGGGUGUACAGUUAGUGACAGGUCCUCUUUAGGUCUUCUCUGAGGUCUGGGGUGGGAUGACGGGGGACACAAUAGCAGUGUACAGUUAGUGACAGGUCCUCUUUAGGUCUUCUCUAUGGCUGGGGUCUGUGGUGGGAUGACGGGGGACACAAUAGCGGUGUACAGUUAGUGACAGGUCCUCUUUAGGUCUUCUCUGAGGUCUGGGGUGGGAUGACGGGGGACACAAUAGCGGUGUACAGUUAGUGACAGGUCCUCUUUAGGUCUUCUCUGAGGUCUGGGGUGGGAUGACGGGGGACACAAUAGCGGUGUACAGUUAGUGACAGGUCCUCUUUAGGUCUUCUCUAUGGCUGAGGUCUGGGGUGGGAUGACGGGGGACACAAUAGCGGUGUACAGUUAGUGACAGGUCCUCUUUAGGUCUUCUCUAUGGCUGAGGUCUGGGGUGGGAUGACGGGGGACACAAUAGCGGUGUACAGUUAGUGACAGGUCCUCUUUAGGUCUUCUCUAUGACUGAGGUCUGGGGUGGGAUGACGGGGGACACAAUAGCGGUGUACAGUUAGUGACAGGUCCUCUUUAGGUCUUCUCUGAGGUCUGGGGUGAGAUGACGGGGGACACAAUAGCGGUGUACAGUUAGUGACAGGUCCUCUCUAGGUCUUCUCUGAGGUCUGGGGUGGGAUGACGGGGGACACAAUAGCGGUGUACAGUUAGUGACAGGUCCUCUUUAGGUCUUCUCUGAGGUCUGGGGUGGGGUGACGGGGGACACAAUAGUGGUGUACAGUUAGUGACAGGUCCUCUUUAGGUCUUCUCUGA